AAUGAGCAGAAUAUGUAGCGCCUCCCAUCCAAUAAAUCGCAAUAAUCUUUGUGCUUUGUUACUUCUGAUAUGAAGCAAAGUCUAAGAUUUCAAAUACCGUUUAUCUUAUUAUGAGAUUCAAAAAAUAAAUACCGUUUUGGCGCUGUUUAAUGUGACGAUCGCUCAGUUAAAGAGAAGCGGCAGCACGAGCGCAUGUGAACAUCCUCUCCGCUUUAAUAUCAGUUACAGCGCGAAAUAAACACGACUAAACAUCUAAAGGAGGGUCUCAGGAACAGCAUCAGGCUGGAUAAUCUUUCAAAACCGUGCUCACUUCCUGCCAGACGAGAGGGUAACGAGGCCCAAAACAGUGGCAGAGAGACAAAUUGGACAAACAGCUGGGCUUCAAGAGAGCAGGAUGUUUGUGUCGAGGAGAGGACAGCUGGGGAGGCACACAUGAAAUUGGCAGUAGGAAUGUCAUGAGCGGAUGUCUCAGAGCAUGAGCGCUCAUUAACCGGACUGUGAAGAAUUCUUGAUGUUCAAGCUUCAUCCGUCUCAUAUUGGCCAGAGAGAGUCCUACGAACCAGUAAGUAUGAUGUUAAAAGUAGUUUAUAGAUGAGAGAGGAAAAUUGUUUGUGUGAAGAGCACUUUACCUCUGAGGAGCAAGAGAACUACUCAUGUCAGAAGCCCGAGAAUGUGUCUUUCCCUUCUUUUCCCUUCUAAAACCGAUCUUUCUAACCUUCAUGGAAUUUGAAAAAUAGCCAGCAUAAUUUAAUCAAUUUGCAUCUAUAAUGGUGGAAAGCAGCUUUGAUCUUAAAGUGAGCAAGUUAUGAGGCACUUAUUGCUUGACUGAAGAAGUGUGGUCUAGAAACCUAUAUUAAAGAGGCCAUAUUAUACCCUUUAACAAAGUCUUUGUUUUUGAGGUCUACUAGAAUAGGUUUUCAUGCUUAAAUGUUAAAAAAAAAAAAAAAAAAAAACACAUAUUUAACAUUAUUGCAGCACCUCUCUUUCCAGUCUGUCAGUAAUGUCUUGUUUUCGUCUCUAUGAAGCCCCUCCUUCUGAAAAGUGCAAUGUGCUCUGGUUGGUCGGCUGAAUUAGUGUGUUGUAAUUGGUCAACUGUUUAUAUGUCAUUUUCAGAAAUGACAUGGCCUUACCAUAACUUUGUUUAUAUCUUUGUCACAAUGGCCUGACCAAUUCCCUAUCAAUUCAGUAACAGCACCACCUAAUGGUUAAAGGUUAUAAGCAAUUAUACUGUGUUGUACUUGUGUCUUUUUUAAACCAUUUUUCCUUAACUCAUCUAGGCUUAGGAUUGUCUUCAAAAUGAAAACCUUUUUAACCCUGCAAUUAUUUUAUUUUUAUUUAUUUUUUUGUCAUAUGACCACUUAAGUUACUUAAGUUCAGCAUGUGAUGGGAAAAAACUACUGGGAGGCAGCACCACACUGCUCUUUAAUACAGAUUGAAUAUACACUGAUCAGGGAUAAUAUUAUGACCACCUUCCUAAUAUUGUGUUGGUCCCCCUUUUGCUGCCAAAACA